CAGUAGCCGCGGGAAUACAGAGGGUGCGAGCGUUAAUCGGAUUUACUGGGCGUAAAGCGUGCGUAGGCGGCUUUUUAAGUCGGAUGUGAAAUCCCUGAGCUUAACUUAGGAAUUGCAUUCGAUACUGGGAAGCUAGAGUAUGGGAGAGGAUGGUAGAAUUCCAGGUGUAGCGGUGAAAUGCGUAGAGAUCUGGAGGAAUACCGAUGGCGAAGGCAGCCAUCUGGCCUGAUACUGACGCUGAGGUACGAAAGCAUGGGGAGCAAACAGGAUUAGAUACCCCAGUAGUCCCUGUCUCUUAUAA
rnacentral:rRNA from 1 species